GCCCGUCUAGCUCAGUUGGUGGAGCGCAAGGCUCUUAACCUUGUGGUCGUGGGUUCGAUUACCACGGUGGUUG
rnacentral:tRNA from 1 species